UAAGACGGAGGGUGCAAACGUUGUUCGGAAUCACUGGGCGUAAAGGGCGCGUAGGCGGAUCUGUAAGUCGGGAGUGAAAUCUCGGGGCUCAACCCCGAGCCUGCUUCCGAAACUGCAAGUCUUGAGGACUGGAGAGGAAAGUGGAAUUCCCGGUGUAGCGGUGGAAUGCGUAGAUAUCGGGAGGAACAUCGGUGGCGAAGGCGACUUUCUGGACAGUUCCUGACGCUGAGGCGCGAAAGCUAGGGGAGCAAACAGGAUUAGAUACCCUGGUAGUCCUAGCUGUAAACGAUGAGUGCUAGGUGGUGGAAGUUUCAACGCUUUCACUGCCGACGCUAACGCAUUAAGCACUCCGCCUGGGGAGUACGGCCGCAAGGUUG
rnacentral:rRNA from 1 species